GACGAACGCUGGCGGCGUGCUUAACACAUGCAAGUCGAACGGAAAGGCCCUGCUUUUGUGGGGUGCUCGAGUGGCGAACGGGUGAGUAACACGUGAGUAACCUGCCCUUGACUGUGGGAUAACUUCAGGAAACUGGGGCUAAUACCGGAUAGGAGCUCCUGCUGCACGGUGGGGGUUGGAAAGUUUCGGCGGUUGUGGAUGGACUCGCGGCUUAUCAGCUUGUUGGUGGGGUAGUGGCUUACCAAGGCUUUGACGGGUAGCCGGCCUGAGAGGGUGACCGGCCACAUUGGGACUGCGGUACGGCCCAGACUCCUACGGGGGGCAGCAGUGGGGAAUAUUGCACAAUGGGCGGAAGCCUGAUGCAGCAACGCCGCGUGCGGGAUGACGGCCUUCGGGUUGUAAACCGCUUUCGCCUGUGACGAAGCGUGAGUGACGGUAAUGGGUAAAGAAGCACCGGCUAACUACGUG
rnacentral:rRNA from 1 species